rnacentral:rRNA from 1 species
GACGAACGCUGGCGGCGUGCUUAACACAUGCAAGUCGAACGGAAAGGCCCUGCUUUUGUGGGGUGCUCGAGUGGCGAACGGGUGAGUAACACGUGAGUAACCUGCCCUUGACUUUGGGAUAACUUCAGGAAACUGGGGCUAAUACCGGAUAGGAGCUCCUGCUGCAUGGUGGGGGUUGGAAAGUUUCGGCGGUUGGGGAUGGACUCGCGGCUUAUCAGCUUGUUGGUGGGGUAGUGGCUUACCCAGGCUUUGACGGGUAGCCGGCCUGUGAGGGUGACCGGCCACAUGAGGACUGAGAUACGGCCCAGACUCCUACGGGAGGCAGCAGUGGGGAAUAUUGCACAAUGGGCGGAAGCCUGAUGCAGCAACGCCGCGUGCGGGAUGACGGCCUUCGGGUUGUAAACCGCUUUCGCCUGUGACGAAGCGUGAGUGACGGUAAUGGGUAAAGAAGCACCGGCUAACUACGUG